rnacentral:rRNA from 1 species
AAUUGGGGGUUGUUUAAUUUGUAUUAAUUAAUUUUAAUUUUUUUAUAGAAUUAACUUUCUUUUUAGUAUUUUUUAAAAAAUCAAUAUUUUUAUUUAUAGUUUAUUUUACUGUAAAGGUUAAUUAUUGAUUAUAUUAUAAGUAAAAUCUGUUUUUUGUACCUUUUGUAUCAGGGUUUAUUUAAUUUUUUUUAUUUAUUAUAAAUUUCCCGAAAAUAGAGGAUUUACUUUAUUUUGAAGAUUAAUGUUUCAUAAUUAUCUAAAAAUAAAAAGUAGAAGUUAUAUGCUAUUCAUUUCUAUUAUAUCUGGUUUCUUAAUAAUUGAAUUUAAUUCAGGUUUAAUUGUUUAUAAUAGUUUAUUUUAUUAUUUGUUAUAAUUUUAAAUUAAAAUUGGUAAGGAUAAGCUUAUCAAUUGUUCUAUAAUACCCUUUUAUUGUAAUAUAUCGGUAGGAUUAGCAAUUUCCAUCAUUUAUUUUUUAAUAAUUAUUCUAUUUUUAUAAUUUAUUUAUUAGGUUAUUUAGAUUUUUAUUAAGGAUUUAUAUUGAAUAGUUCCAUAUAGGUUAUAAUGAUAAAAUAAGUAAGUGAUUAAAUAACACAUAGUAACUUGGCAAAAUUGUUCUUCACCUGUUUAACAAAAACAUGUCUUGAUGCUGAUAUUAUAUUAAGUCUGGCCUGCUCAAUGAUGUUUUAAAUAGCCGCAGUAUUUUGACUGUGCGAAGGUAGCAUAAUCAUUUGUCUUUUAAUUGAAGGCUUGUAUGAAUGGUCGGAUGAGAGAGCGUCUUUCUUUGUGUUAUUAUAUUGAAUUUAAUUUUUGGGUUAAAAAGCUUAAAUUUUUAAGUGGGACGAGAAGACCCUAUAGAAUUUUAUUUAUGAUAUGGGCUUUAUUAGUUGGGUAAAUUACUCUUGAGGCCUUUUUAUAAAUUUUGUUGGGGUGACAGUGGGAUUUACUAAACUCUCAUAAUUGAUAUUUUAUUGAUUUAUAUAUUAAAGAUCCUUUAUUAAGGAUAAUUAGAUUAAAUUACCUUAGGGAUAACAGCGUAAUUCUUUUGGAGAGUUCUUAUCGAUAAAGGAGUUUGCGACCUCGAUGUUGGAUUAAAAUUAGAUUUAAGUGUAGCAGCUUAAUUUCUAGGUCUGUUCGACCUUUAAUAUUUUACAUGAUCUGAGUUCAGACCGGCGUGAGCCAGGUCGGUUUCUAUCUUUUUAUUUAGUUCUGUGAAUUAGUACGAAAGGACCAUUCACAUCAAAUAUUUUUGUUUAUACUGAAUCAUUUUAA